GGGGCUGAUUCUGGAUUCGACGGGAUUCGCGAAACCCAAGGUGCAUGCCGAGGGGCGGUUGGCCUCGUAAAAAGCCGCAAAAAAAUAGUCGCAAACGACGAAAACUACGCUUUAGCAGCUUAAUAACCUGCUCUGAGCCCUCUCUCCCUAGCUUCCGCUCUUAAGACGGGGAUCAAAG
rnacentral:tmRNA from 2 species